rnacentral:lncRNA from 1 species
UUAUUUUUUUAAUCCCAUUUUCUCUCAAUUUACACAGCCAAUUAUCCAACCUACUCAUUAGGACUCCCCCUAUCUCUAGUGACACCCCAACACAUCAGGAGGGUGAAGACUAGCACAUGCCUCCUUCGAUACAUGUGAAGUCAGCCACCGCCUCUUUUCAAUGCUGCUGAUGCAGCAUUGCUGAGUAUCAUCACAGAGAGCUCAGAGGAAAGCGCAGCAACUCGGUUCCGAUACAUCAACAUCACUCUUCGGAAUGAUGUUGGGAGAGAGUGCCAUCUACCCAUUCAGAGAGAGCAAGGCCAAUGUGCUCUCUCAGGGCUAAGGGCUCUUCUGAUUCCUUCAAAGAGGAGUGGAGCUGGAUAACGGUGGAAAAAGUGAUUUAUCGGGGCAAAUUAAUGCCCAGUGUCACCCAGUCUGAAGGAUGUUUGGACAAACUGUUAAAAUUUCUGGAUCUCGAAGUGCUGUGGGAGGGUGGAGGUGUGCUAUUCAUCAAAGCCUUCAACACUGACCAAGGAGUUGUUAUUGCAUAAAACGCAGAUGAAUUCCAGGAGAAACCAGUCUAUGGAGAAUGACUACACACUGAUGGUGAGUAAGAGGUGGAAGGACAUGCCCAAUAUGCACAUAGUGUGACCAACAUCAGAUGAACCCCCUUGCAUAACUGCUCAGUAGACCCUGUUUAACUAAAGAGUGAAACUGAGCAUGUGCAGUAGUGCAGAUCCUUCUAGAGCAAGGAAACUUGAUAAUAUAUAUUAAUGAGAAUUAAUGCCCUUACAUAUAACGCCUGCCACAAACAAUUAUCUGAUUAUAAAUAAGGCAAAAGGACAAAGGCAGUGAUGAAGGCAAAGUGUUUUUUAAUUUACAGUGGAAAUGAUAUCUUAAUCAAAGAUGAGGAAGUGCAAGAAAGUAAAUGCAGGAUAAAGGUCAUGUGUUCUGGACCAGCAUGUAUUUCAGUGCUUAGUUUCCAUGGUAAGGAUUUGGACUGAGUGUUUGGUCUGCACCCAUCUACAUUCAGACAGAUUUUGUCUUUAAAACCUUUCAAGACCAUUGUUAAACUAAUAUUACUCCAAGAGCAAGGUGUG